GAAACUUAAAGGAAUUGGCGGGGGAGCACCACAAGGCGUGAAGCUUGCGGUUCAAUUGGAGUCAACGCCGGGAACCUUACCGGGGGCGACAGCAGGAUGAAUGCCAGAUUGAAGGUCUUGCUGGACAAGCUGAGAGGAGGUGCAUGGCCGUCGCCAGUUCGUGCCGUGAGGUGUCCUGUUAAGUCAGGCAACGAUCGAGACCCGCGCUCCUAGUUGCUACCGAGGAAGUUUUCCAAGGGGCACUCUAGGGGGACUGCCGUCGACAAGACGGAGGAAGGAGCGGGCCACGGCAGGUCAGUAUGCCCCGAAUCCCCCGGGCUACACGCGAGCUGCAAUGACAGGGACAAUGGGUUCCGACCUUGAAAAAGGAAGGCAAUCCCUANNCCCUGCCUCNGUUGGGA
rnacentral:rRNA from 1 species